rnacentral:rRNA from 2 species
ACGUAUGGUGCAAGCGUUAUCCGGAUUUACUGGGUGUAAAGGGAGCGUAGACGGAGUGGCAAGUCUGAUGUGAAAACCCGGGGCUCAACCCCGGGACUGCAUUGGAAACUGUCAAUCUAGAGUACCGGAGAGGUAAGCGGAAUUCCUAGUGUAGCGGUGAAAUGCGUAGAUAUUAGGAGGAACACCAGUGGCGAAGGCGGCUUACUGGACGGUAACUGACGUUGAGGCUCGAAAGCGUGGGGAGCAAACAG